UUCAAAAGGCAAAAACUGUGAGUGCUGCAGGGUUGCAUUCAUAGACAAGGCAACCUGCCAAAUCCAGGACAGACUCAUUAUCAGCGCCUCUCUUUCCAAGUAUAUCCAAGAGAGACCAUCUCUACUUCUCUGGUGACACAGGAGGGUCCUGAUCUAAAGCACUCUGCUCACCUGGGCAAAAGAGAUAUGACACUGCUCUUGGGAUCAACACCCAGGUUUUGUGGAAUAACGCUGACUUUCACGAACAGGAAUCCAGGAGUCAGAAUCCAGACCAGAUGUUGCAGCUGGACAAGCAUCAUUGCCUAAAUGACUUUUGAGAAUGAUCUCCAGGACCCAUCUUAGCCCCGGGAAAGUCUCAUAUAACAAGAAUGCCAGUUUUGGAUAUGAACUUAGUGGGACCAAUGCAAUGCGGAGAAUGACUUCCGAGAGGCAACACUGUGCAGUGAAAAGAUCGUUGCUGUUGUUCAAAAGAACACUGGCUGUGGAGGUGGAGGACCUGGUUUGAAUUCUACUUCUAAUGCUUAUUUGGGGCCACUCCAUGGUGAAG